ACUAUCCGCCCGGGAACUACGAGCAUUAGCUUGAAACCCAAAGGACUUGGCGGUGCUUUAGACCCAUCUAGAGGAGCCUGUUCUUGAAACCGAUAACCCCCGUUAAACCUCACCUUUUCUUGCCCCAUUCCGCCUAUAUACCGCCGUCGUCAGCUUACCCCCUGAGGGAUCUAUAGUAAGCACAAUUGGCACAGCCCAAAACGUCAGGGCGAGGUGUAGCCUAUGAAAAGGAAAGAAAUGGGCUACAUUCUCUCACGAAGAGAAUACGAAAAAUCGCACUGAAAUAUGCAUCUUGAAGGAGGAUUUAGAAGUAAGCAGGAAAUAGAGCGUCCUGCUG
rnacentral:rRNA from 1 species